UUUAUGGAGAGUUUGAUCCUGGCUCAGGAUGAACGCUGGCGGCGUGCCUAAUACAUGCAAGUCGAGCGAACAGAUGGGGAGCUUGCUCCCCCGACGUUAGCGGCGGACGGGUGAGUAGCACGUGGGUAACCUACCUAUAAGACUGGAAUAACUCCGGGAAACCGGGGCUAAUGCCGGAUAACAUGUGGGACCGCAUGGUCCU
rnacentral:rRNA from 1 species